AUGAAGCUGGCUGUCCCCUUCCCAGACACCAGCUGUCAGAAACUCACAGAAGCAUAUAAAUGCGAGCUUGAUACAUUCUCUGAGAAGUGCAUGGCCACAGAAGUGGCUGCUGGUGCUCUGGGUGAUGAGUGGAAUGAUAAACAGGCUUUCUCUGUAUAGCAAAUGUCUUGACUCCCGGCAGAGUGCAUCUGCUUUUCAAUAAGGGCAUUCUUGUAAUAGACCAAGGAGAACUAGAAAAAGAACCUAGUCUGUUCAUAGGUCAUGGUGGAUGUCCAUUUGAGUGUUCUCAACUUGGUUAUUGUAUUUAAAAAAAAAAUAGUCCUAGACUAACAAAUACUACUGUGUUUUGGCAGUGGAGCUCAAAAGAGCAGAAUUUAAAAGCUUCUGAAUCUUGAUCUCUCUUUAAAAAGAAAAAAAAUGCAGUCAGAAGGCCCUUAAACAAAGGCCUAAAGUCCAGAGCCAAAGUGUCCAAGAGUCAGCACCUUCUUACUCCAGUGUCUUACAACACAAAUGCUAAUGUAGUACUGUGAAAAACAAUACGUUAAGAAAAACAAGGAGGAGGCUUCAGAAUAUAGUGAGCUUUUGGCCAAGAAAAGGAAGGAAGCCAAAGAAAAAUGCCAGGAACAGAGAGCCAAAAGACAUACAUAGACUGUGUUCACUGAGAAAUUCUACUGCUGAGUCCAGUCAAAAG
rnacentral:lncRNA from 1 species